AUUGAACGCUGGCGGCAGGCCUAACACAUGCAAGUCGAGCGAGCGGCGGACGGGUGAGUAAUGUCAGGGAAACUGCCUGAUGGAGGGGGAUAACUACUGGAAACGGUAGCUAAUACCGUAUACCAUCAGAUGUGCCCAGAUGGGAUUAGCUAGUGGGGGGGGUAAUGGCUCACCUGGGCGACGAUCCCUAGCUGGUCUGAGAGGAUGAUCAGUCACCCUGGAACUGAGACACGGUCCAGACUCCUACGGUAGGGAGCAGUGGGGAAUAUUGGACAAUGGGCGAAAGCCUGAUCCAGCCCUGCCGCGUGUGUUAAGAAGGUCUUCGGAUUGUAAAGCACUUUUAGUUGGGAGGCGUUACCAACAGAAUAAGCACCGGCUAACUUCGUGCCAGCAGCCGCGGUAAUAC
rnacentral:rRNA from 1 species